rnacentral:rRNA from 1 species
AACGAACGCUGGCGGCGCGCCUAAUGCAUGCAAGUCGAGCGAGAAGACGUAGCAAUACGUUUGUAAAGCGGCGAACGGGUGAGGAAUACAUGGGUAACCUACCCUCGAGUGGGGAAUAACUAGCCGAAAGGUUAGCUAAUACCGCGUACGCUCCUUGGACUUCGGUUCAGGGAGGAAAGCGAUACCGUGGGUAUCGCGCUCUUGGAUGGGCUCAUGUCCUAUCAGCUUGNGGUGAGGUAACGGCUCACCAAGGCUUCGACGGGUAGCUGGUCUGAGAGGACGAUCAGCCACACUGGCACUGGCGACACGGGCCAGACUCCUACGGGAGGCAGCAGUAAGAAUAUUGCGCAAUGGGCGAAAGCCUGACGCAGCGACGCCGCGUGGGGGAUGAAGGUCUUCGGAUUGUAAACUCCUUUUGGAGGGAUGAAUGGCUUGGUGAAUAGCAAGCGUGACAGUACUCUCUGAAUAA